UACGGAGGUGGCAAGCGUUGCUCGGAUUUACUGGGCGUAAAGGGCGCGUAGGCGGCCACUGCAAGUCGGUUGUGAAAUCUCCGGGCUUAACCCGGAAAGGUCAAUCGAUACUGCAGGGCUAGAGUGCAGAAGGGGCAACUGGAAUUCUCGGUGUAGCGGUGAAAUGCGUAGAUAUCGAGAGGAACACCUGCGGCGAAGGCGGGUUGCUGGGCUGACACUGACGCUGACAGCGCGAAAGCUAGGGGAGCGAACGGG
rnacentral:rRNA from 1 species